GCCCCGGUAGCUCAGUGGAUAGAGCAACCGCCUCCUAAGCGGUAGGUCGCGCGUUCGAUUCGCGCUCGGGGCA
rnacentral:tRNA from 1 species